GCGUAUGCGGAUAUGGUCAAAUGGUAAAAUUUCUCUUUGCC
rnacentral:tRNA from 1 species